rnacentral:lncRNA from 1 species
CCGCAACAGCAUCAUCUGGGGUUGCCAAAGGUCAGAAAAUGACUAUUGAUUAACCUAUUAGGAUACCUGUAGUUGCCGAGAGAAAUAAAAAACGACGUAAAAUAACCAACUAUUUUAAAAAAAGAAGCCUUAAAGAAGCUUCUCGGAGUAGUUAAAUGACUUUAGCAGAUGAAAAAAAGUCGGAAAUGAGGCGCCCGAGAAGGAGCCGAGAUUGGCAGCGGCCGGGGUAAGUCGGCUGGGGCGGGGAAGAGGCCUCGGGCCUUCAGGUUGGACGCUGCACCCGGGCCCUGACAGCAAAGGACCGGUCCUGGAGCGGGCAGUGACUUCCUGGGCGGCCGGGCUCAGCCUCUAGGGAGCCGGGUGGCUUCGGGCCUGUCGGGGGGCUGGCUUUGGGCGACUCUUGAUCUGGGUUCUCUCUUCUCGAGGUGGACACAAACCCUCCAAGAUUUAACUUCCGCGGACGAAGCGAGGAUGAGACCAAUACACACACAAAAUUCCUUGGCCGCCUCGUUGCGGGCGGCGAACGCCUGCCUGGCGGGAAUGGUUCCUGAGCCCAAGUCCAGUCCACUGAGGCCUGGAGAGGGAAGGCUGGCAUCACCAGAGCAUGGUGCACCAGGGGAGGAGGUCGAGAGGAACUAAAGAGUGAAAUAUUUUCAGAAGUCACCCAGAAAACUCAUUUAAUUUUAGGUGGACGGUGGUGCUUCUGGAGCUCUCUCCCUCUCCUACAACUUUCCCCCGGCCUAGACACAUACUCCCUCCAGAGGAAAAUCCGUAAACUUGCUUCAUUACAUGCGAUGCGACACACAGAUUGGCUUUAACCAUCAUGAGACCAUUGCCCCGGGUAUGAACACUAGUUCACUCGAUCCCGACUCCGCAGGCGUUCCUGGUUGGGCCAGGGGGUCUCCCUUCCGAGACUCCCGUGAACCUCCGCGAUUUUUCUGUAUCUAAAUGAACCCCCGCCCCCGCUUGCACCUGACCCUAAAACGCAUCUCUGAGUUGAUUUCCGCAGCUGUAUGGUUUUUGUGGCCGGCCGGCUCCGAGCCGUUUACAAUGCUGUCUGUGCAACUCCAGAAGAACCAGCGUGAGCGGAGAUGGCUCCUGGAACUUCUCGGCGCCGCUGGCUCAACCUCGCCCUCCCUCCGCCGAGGUCCGGCUCAUCUGUCCAUUCCCCGGUGUCUCCUUGGAAUCUCCCUAGGGGAAGGGGGAAAGCAGCGGGUGGUGGUGAACAACUCCCAGCCGCCGGUUCCAUUUGUUGCGCUUUUAUCCUUCGACACAAUAAAAGUCAAAUUAAUUGAUUCAUACC